CAAGGCAACUAAAGUUGUAGAAGCCAGUUGGCGCGAAGCUAGAGCGAAGCUGAUGAGAUUAUUUGGCCUGGAAAACCUGGCAGAGAACGUAAAGAAAGCCUGUUAGCUUCAUGGGUAAAGUGAGCAUCCGGUUCUACCUUUUAACACGGCAGUUUCAUCCUUCUGGAGAAGAACAGAAACGUCCCAGAAUCGCUCCAGCUGAAGCUUCAACCAGUUAGCUUAGCUUCUCCCACAAGAGACAAGAUGGCUCCGCCCACGAAGAAACGUGACCCGAGCGGAACAAACCUCCGACAGACUAACGCGAUCAUCACCGAGGUUCAUGGCAGCAAAACUGGAUGAUGAAACUGGGAGCAACGAGGAAACCUCUCCGCUUUACUCCGACAAGACAAACAUUCAGAAAACAAAGAGAAGGAAACUAAAUCAAUUAAAUGUUGGACGACUUAAACAUUUCAA